UACGGAGGGAGCUAGCGUUGUUCGGAAUUACUGGGCGUAAAGCGCACGUAGGCGGCUUUUCAAGUCAGGGGUGAAAUCCCGGGGCUCAAACCCCCGGAACUGCCCUUGAAAUGGAUGGCUAGAAUACUGGAGAGGUGAGUGGAAUUCCGAGUGUAGAGGUGAAAUUCGUAGAUAUUCGGAAGAACACCAGUGGCGAAGGCGACUCACUGGACAGUUAUUGACGCUGAGGUGCGAAAGCGUGGGGAGCAAACAGGAUUAGAUACCCGUGCGU
rnacentral:rRNA from 1 species